GACGAACGCUGGCGGCGUGCUUAACACAUGCAAGUCGAACGGAAAGGCCCUGCUUUUGUGGGGUGCUCGAGUGGCGAACGGGUGAGUAACACGUGAGUAACCUGCCCUUGACUUUGGGAUAACUUCAGGAAACUGGGGCUAAUACCGGAUAGGAGCUCCUGCUGCAUGGUGGGGGUUGGAAAGUUUCGGCGGUUGGGGAUGGACUCGCGGCUUAUCAGCUUGUUGGUGGGGUAGUGGCUUACCAAGGCUUUGACGGGUAGCCGGCCUGAGAGGGUGACCGGCCACAUUGGGACUGAGAUACGGCCCAGACUCCUACGGGAGGCAGCAGUGGGGAAUAUUGCACAAUGGGCGGAAGCCUGAUGCAGCAACGCCGCGUGCGGGAUGACGGCCUUCGGGUUGUAAACCGCUUUCGCCUGUGACGAAGCGUGAAUGACGGUAAUGGGUAAAGAAGCACCGGCUAACUACGUGCCAGCAGCCGCGGUGAUACGUAGGGUGCGAGCGUUGUCCGGAUUUAUUGGGCGUAAAGGGCUCGUAGGUGGUUGAUCGCGUCGGAAGUGUAAUCUUGGGGCUUAACCCUGAGCGUGCUUUCGAUACGGGUUGACUUGAGGAAGGUAGGGGAGAAUGGAAUUCCUGGUGGAGCGGUGGAAUGCGCAGAUAUCAGGAGGAACACCAGUGGCGAAGGCGGUUCUCUGGGCCUUUCCUGACGCUGAGGAGCGAAAGCGUGGGGAGCGAACAGGCUUAGAUACCCUGGUAGUCCACGCUGUAAACGGUGGGUACUAGGUGUGGGGUCCAUUCCACGGGUUCCGUGCCGUAGCUAACGCUUUAAGUACCCCGCCUGGGGAGUACGGCCGCAAGGCUAAAACUCAAAGGAAUUGACGGGGCCCCGCACAAGCGGCGGAGCAUGCGGAUUAAUUCGAUGCAACGCGUAGAACCUUACCUGGGUUUGACAUGGAUCGGGAGUGCUCAGAGAUGGGUGUGCCUCUUUUGGGGUCGGUUCACAGGUGGUGCAUGGCUGUCGUCAGCUCGUGUCGUGAGAUGUUGGGUUAAGUCCCGCAACGAGCGCAACCCUUGUUCACUGUUGCCAGCACGUUAUGGUGGGGACUCAGUGGAGACCGCCGGGGUCAACUCGGAGGAAGGUGGGGAUGACGUCAAGUCAUCAUGCCCCUUAUGUCCAGGGCUUCACGCAUGCUACAAUGGCUGGUACAGAGAGUGGCGAGCCUGUGAGGGUGAGCGAAUCUCGGAAAGCCGGUCUCAGUUCGGAUUGGGGUCUGCAACUCGACCUCAUGAAGUCGGAGUCGCUAGUAAUCGCAGAUCAGCAACGCUGCGGUGAAUACGUUCCCGGG
rnacentral:rRNA from 1 species